CAGAAAAAUCGCGUCCAGAUAGAGCGAAUUUGAUUGUGGUUGGAUGAGAAGUAUAAACAUAUACCAUUCCGACACCCUAUUGGUUUGUACGCGAUCCAUCGCACCUGCACAUAACACAAAUCACGUCACUCUCCAGCACAGCAGACGUAUGUAGCCUAGUACGAAGAUGUCCGUGGCAGAGACUCAAGAGAACUCGAGCGAAAUGUCCCAACCAAGCACCAGCGAGGAGACAUGCAUCAGUGUGUCCUCUACCUGUGUACUCUCCCAGGAUCAGCCUGGACAUGAUGACAGUGAAGAUGGGUGCUGAGCUCUUCACGGUCUCUGCAAAAGACACUGCCACAUUCUUCAGGCUCACCAAGCCCAGAACCACUGUGCUGAACCUGGAGACAAAGGCAACAGGGCACAAACAUUUUUAUGAAGCCGAUGACGGUGGUGGAGAGCAUCUGAACUGCACCUGGGCAGCAUAUGGAAGACAACAAGUUAGAGCUACAGCCACACCUAAUUAACACCUGCAGCAUGAAUGUCAAAUAAACUUCUUCAACUCCUUG